AGCUCCAAUAGCGUAUAUUAAAGUUGUUGCAGUUAAAAAGCUCGUAGUUGGAUUUCUGUCGUGGUGCGUCUGGCCCGGCCCCUAGGGGUUGUGAGCCGGCACGCACCGGACAUCCUUCGUGUGAACGCGUCUGCCGUUGAUUCGGUCCGGCGCGGGAACACGAUCGUUUACUUUGAAGAAAUUAGAGUGUUCAAAGCAGGCAAUUGCUGUGAAUAGGUUAGCAUGGAAUAAUAAGAUAGGGCUUCGGUUUUAUUUUGUUGGUUUCUAGAACUGAAGUAAUGAUUGAUAGGGAUAGUUGGGGGUGCUCGUAUUGACCGGCCAGAGGUGAAAUUCACGGAUUCGGUCAAGACGAACUUAUGCGAAAGCAUUCACCAAGGAUGUCUUCU
rnacentral:rRNA from 1 species